rnacentral:rRNA from 1 species
GAUGAACGCUAGCGACAGGCUUAACACAUGCAAGUCGAGGGGCAGCAGGGGAGUAGCAAUACUCCCGCUGGCGACCGGCGCACGGGUGAGUAACACGUAUGCAACCUGCCCUUGUCAGGGGGAUAAGCGGAAGAAAUUCCGUCUAAUACCGCAUAAUGCUGCGGGGAGACAUCUCCCUGCAGCCAAAGAUUUAUCGGACAAGGAUGGGCAUGCGGCGCAUUAGCUUGUUGGCGGGGUAACGGCCCACCAAGGCGACGAUGCGUAGGGGUUCUGAGAGGAAGGUCCCCCACACUGGUACUGAGACACGGACCAGACUCCUACGGGAGGCAGCAGUGAGGAAUAUUGGUCAAUGGCCGGGAGGCUGAACCAGCCAAGUCGCGUGAGGGAAGACGGUCCUAUGGAUUGUAAACCUCUUUUGUCAGGGAGCAAAAACUGCCACGCGUGGCAGGAUGAGAGUACCUGAAGAAAAAGCAUCGGCUAACUCCGUGCCAGCAGCCGCGGUAAUACGGAGGAUGCGAGCGUUAUCCGGAUUUAUUGGGUUUAAAGGGUGCGUAGGCGGACAGUUAAGUCAGCGGUAAAAUUGAGAGGCUCAACCUCUUCCCGCCGUUGAAACUGAUUGUCUUGAGUGGGCGAGAAGUAUGCGGAAUGCGUGGUGUAGCGGUGAAAUGCAUAGAUAUCACGCAGAACUCCGAUUGCGAAGGCAGCAUACCGGCGCCCAACUGACGCUGAAGCACGAAAGCGUGGGUAUCGAACAGGAUUAGAUACCCUGGUAGUCCACGCAGUAAACGAUGAAUACUAAUUGUUCGGGUCAAAUGAGAUCUGAGUGAUACAGCGAAAGCGUUAAGUAUUCCACCUGGGGAGUACGCCGGCAACGGUGAAACUCAAAGGAAUUGACGGGGGCCCGCACAAGCGGAGGAACAUGUGGUUUAAUUCGAUGAUACGCGAGGAACCUUACCCGGGCUCAAACGACACAGGAAUGAUCUGAGAAAUCAGGCAGUCCUCCGGGACCUGUGUCGAGGUGCUGCAUGGUUGUCGUCAGCUCGUGCCGUGAGGUGUCGGCUUAAGUGCCAUAACGAGCGCAACCCCCAUCGACAGUUGCCAGCAGGUCAAGCUGGGCACUCUGUCGAGACUGCCGGCGCAAGCUGUGAGGAAGGCGGGGAUGACGUCAAAUCAGCACGGCCCUUACGUCCGGGGCGACACACGUGUUACAAUGGCAGGUACAGCGGGAAGCCACCUGGCGACAGGGAGCGGAACCCGAAAGCCUGUCUCAGUUCGGAUUGGAGUCUGCAACUCGACUCCAUGAAGCUGGAUUCGCUAGUAAUCGCGCAUCAGCCACGGCGCGGUGAAUACGUUCCCGGGCCU